CCCUUAGAUGUUCUGGGCCGCACGCGCGCUACACUGAUGCAUUCAACGAGCCUAUCCUUGACCGACAGGUCCGGGUAAUCUUUGAAUCUGCAUCGUGAUGGGGAUAGAUUAUUGCAAUUAUUAGUCUUGAACGAGGAAUUCCUAGUAAGCACAAGUCAUCAGCUUGUGUUGAUUACGUCCCUGCCCUUUGUACACACCGCCCGUCGCUCCUACCGAUUGAAUGUUCCGGUGAGCUCUUCGGACUGCGCGGUUUGCAGUUUCUGCGUUCCGUGCGGAAAGUUGCGCAAACCUUAACAUUUAGAGGAAGGAGGAGUCGUAACA
rnacentral:rRNA from 1 species